CUACGGGAUGCAGCAGUAGGGAAUUUUCGACAAUGGGGGAAACCCUGAUCGAGCAAUGCCGCGUGAACGAAGAAGGUCUUCGGAUUGUAAAGUUCUUUUAUUGGAGAAGAACUAGUGCACUAGGAAAUGAGUGCGCUUUGACGGUAUCCAUUGAAUAAGCCCCGGCUAACUACGUGCCAGCAGCCGCGGUAAUACGUAGGGGGCGAGCGUUAUCCGGAAUUAUUGGGCGUAAAGCGUGCGUAGGCGGUUUGUUAAGUCGUUUGUAAAAGAUCUCAGCCCAACUGAGUAAGGCGAAUGAAACUGGCAGACUUGGGUACGGUAGAGGUAAGCGGAAUUCCAUGUGUAGCGGUGGAAUGCGUAGAUAUAUGGAGGAACACCAAUGGCGAAGGCAGCUUACUGGGCCGGAACUGACGCUGAUGCACGAAAGCGUGGGGAGCAAACAGGAUUAGAUACCCGAGUAGUC
rnacentral:rRNA from 1 species